CUGGUUUUUGUUUCUUUGCAAACCAAGAGACAGUUAACAGUCAGACUGAGCCUUAACAUAAUCAGGAUGGAUGUUUGUGAUACAAAAGGAAAAAGGUCUCUUUAAAGAAUGUUGCAAAUCUCUGUGAACACCAAUCAGACCAGGCCUGGC